AUUGAACGCUGGCGGCAGGCCUAACACAUGCAAGUCGAACGAGCGGCGGACGGGUGAGUAAUGUCUGGGAAACUGCUUGUUGGAGGGGGAUAACUACUGGAAACGGUAGCUAAUACCGCAUACCAUCUGAUGUGCCCAGAUGGGAUUAGCUAGGAGGUGGGGUAACGGCUCACCUCGGCGACGAUCCCUCGCUGGUCUGAGAGGAUGAACAGCAAAACUGGAACUGAGACACGGUCCAGACUCCAACGGGAGGCAGCAGUGGGGAAUAUUGCACAAGGGGCGCAAGCCUGAUGCAGCCAUGCCGCGUGUGUGAAGAAGGCCUUCGGGUUGUAAAGUACUUUCAGCGGGGAGGCGUUACCCGCAGAAGAAGCACCGGCUAACUACGUGCCAGCAGCCGCGGUAAUUC
rnacentral:rRNA from 1 species